CGCCCGCGCAGGCGCAGGGGCAGGAAGGAGCCCAGCAGCGAGGCAGGUGGCACCACCAGGGGGGCCCUCAAGCCUGGCGCGCACGCAUUCCAGACGACACCCAGACCAUGCUCCGCCGCCUGGGCGCCCAAGCUGCAGUCGCCCUCUGUGUGCAGGCAGCAGCUGCCUGGCAACCCCCGAGCCCGCUCGCGCUCCCAGCAUCGCAGAACCAGGGCCAGGUAUCCCAGUGGCUGCGAUCAAGCCAGUCAUUCUGCCCGGCGGCGGCGGCUGCACAGGAGCCAGAACUGAGAACCCGCCGCUCAGCCCCACACGGGGUGACUGCCGAGUGCCCGUGCCAGCGGCCCAGAUCUCCCUCAGGUGGAGGAGUGGGCGAGAGGCACGGCCUGGGGGCCCUCAGGCUGGGCGCGCUGGCGAUCCCAAGGCCGACCAGGCCAUGCACCUCCAGCCCGCCUGGGCACCUAAGCUGCAGCCGCCUUCUGUGUGCAGGCAGCAGCCUCCAGGCAACUCCCGAGCCCGCCCGCACUCCCCACAUCUCGGAACCAGGGCCAGAUGUCCCUGUGGCUGCGGCGAAGCCAGGCGGUCUGCCCUGCAGCAGCUGCACGGGGGCGGGAACCGGCCCUCAGCCCCAUCCCCGGUGGCUGUAGAGGACCCCUAGCUAGAGGUCUCGAGCUCUGGCAGAGGAGGACCCGGGCGGGGGCAGGGUCUGGCGGGCUCUCAGGCCAGGGGCACUCGUGAUCCAGAGGCCGCCCAGGCCAUGCUCCACCACCUGGGCGCCCAGCUACAGGCGCCGGGCAACUUCCAAGCUGGCUGGCGCGCCCAGCCUCGCAGAACCAGGGCUAGAUGUCGCCGUGACUGAGGCCAAGUCAGGCGGUCUGCCCGGAGGCGGCUGCACCAGGGCAGGAACCGACCCUCAGCCGCAUCCCCGGUGGCUGCAGGCGGCCCCUGGAGCGGCCCCGAUCUCUCUUCGGAGGAGAAGAGGGGCGGAGUCACGGCCAGGCGGGCCCUCAGGAGGGAAGGGAUGAGCGCCUGCGAUUCCGGGAAGUCCCGCGCCAGCCCAGGAGAACCCGCAAGCCCGCGGCGCCUGUUUCUCUGUGUGAUUCUUUGAGGAACCACCAAACUGUUUUCCACAGCAAGUGCAUCAUUUUCUGUUCCUAGCAGCCAGUUCAUGAGGGCUCCAAUUUCUCCACCUCCUUAGCAACACUGAUUUUCUGUAUCGUUGUUAUGAAAGCCUUACUAGUGGAUGCAAAGUGGCAUCUCAUUUGGGUUUUGUCUUGCAUUUUAUUAAUGAAUAACGGUGUUUAGCAUCUUUUCUUGUCCUUCUUAGACAUUUGUGUAUCUUUUUUGGAGAAAUGUCUAUUCAAGUCCUUUGCCUCUUUUUUAAUUGGGAUCUUAGAAAUUCUGUUGAGUUGUGGGAUAUUAAGCUUUUAUCAGAUACACACUUUGAUUUUAGCAGAUACAUAUUUUCUCACAUACUAUGGGUUGUCUUUUCACUCCCUUGAUAGUAUCCUUUGAUGCAUAAAGGGUUUUUAUUUUGAUUGAAUCUAAUUUACAUGUAUUUUCUUUUGUUAUCUGUGCUUUUCUGUCAUAUUUCAAAAUACACUUAAAACUCAAAGGUCA
rnacentral:lncRNA from 1 species